AUUGAACGCUGGCGGCAGGCUUAACACAUGCAAGUCGAACGAGUGGCGGACGGGGGAGUAAUGCUUGGGAAUCUGGCUUAUGGAGGGGGAUAACGACGGGAAACUGUCGCUAAUACCGCCUACCAUAGGAUGAGCCCACGUGGGAUUCGGUAGUUGUGGGGGUAAUGGCCUACCAAGCCGACGAGCUCUAGCUGGUCUGAGAGGAUGACCAGCUACACCGGGACUGAGACACGGCCAUGACUCCUCAGGGAGGCAGCAGUGGGGAAUACUGCGCAAUGGGGGCAACCUGACGGAGCCAUGCCGCGUGAAUGAAGAAGGCCUCCGGGUUGUAAAGUUCUUUCGGUGACGAGGCGUUAAUCACAGAAGAAGCACCGGCUAACUCCGUGCCAGCAGCCGCGGUAAUAC
rnacentral:rRNA from 1 species